rnacentral:lncRNA from 1 species
CGGGAGGGACGCAGCGGGCCACCUGGUGCGCGCCAGCGGGGCCGCAAAGCCAGCCGGCCGGUGUGAACUUCGGGGCUACAGGAUCCGCUGGGCCGAACCUCCGGCCCCGCGGGCGGGGUGGCCAAGGAUUACUUGAUAUAUGCAGAAGAUGUUGUAAAUUUAUAGAUUUAAAUAGCUUACAAAGAUGCCGCAGGCCCCAUCAGUUAAUUUCCUUAAUUUAUGGAUUUUAAGCUGCUCCUAGAACAGAAAGGGGCCCGCGAAGUAGGUCAGGGAUCUGUGCUGUGGGGGCCCAUGGUCGCCCACGUUUGCUUCCCAGGCUCUGAAACCACCCUGGACUAGCUCCCAGCUUUGCUUAAACAGUGCUACUCUUCUGGUGAGCAUGCAGGUGAGGGAGGUCCUGUUCGGCUGGAUGGUCUGCUCAGUUCUUUGCUGGCUUCCCCAGGCUUUGGACAGCUCAAGGUAGUAGAACUUAGAAACAGUAAACCCCCCCAGUGUUGAAAAAGCUGACCCUUAGAAUGAGGUGAAAAGCACUUUGCAAGAAUGGUGACCUCAGUAGAGCAAGCUGCUAUGUGAAUGCCCUCAGCUUCAGAGAGAAAACCUUUCCUAGGCUUUGAAACAGGGAGAGCCAGGAGAGUAUGCUAGGCUCACUUGAGGAGUGACGCUCUGAAAACUGCUUGUCACCGCCCGACGGGCCUCAGUACCCCCUCUCUUCUUGUCACCUGCAUGGCUGUGGGUGAGUCUUUGUUUUGUGUUCAAUACGGGUGAAUACAUACAUAUAAAUUCAUACUUAAAAGAUUGGAAUAAACUCAACUGUUUUAGGAAGCCACAUGGCAAUGUGAUUAGGACUGGUAUUCAUGAUUUAACAUUUCUUUUCCCUCUAGAUGAAGUUUCUAAGAUUCACAAGGCACAUGUCAAGGACGGGUGUAUAAAUGGAUUUUUAUUUAUUCACAACUCCACGACUAAUUGCUUCCCCUUGCCUCAAGGCCACGAGAUUGGUUUUAAUAUGACACUUCAAAAGUAUUCAUAGAACUCCAGAGAUAGCAAGUGUCAUUGUUUAAGAGACAAAUCUCACCGUGAUACUGCUGACCCUGAAAAAUAGCAGGUCCACUUGAUACCAACUAUAUUAAAAAUGCACAAUUUAAUCAGAACAAGGGCUGACCAUUUUGAAGGACCUUUAUUUCCUUGAUGCUCCCGGUCUUUGUCUCCACCGUCUAUCGUCUCUCAUCGAAUGGCUGAGCUCUGUGUGCGUCACGAAGGGAGAGUCCCAGGGAGUUUUUCCCAGGAAGAGUUACAGGUCACGAGGAAAGUGACCUUUGGUCUCCCAGUUCUGCCCCAGGCUCUUUUCCAGGACAGAAGCCUCUCUGGACAGCCUUCUUUCUCUUCUCAGGCAAUUCCUUCUCCUUGGGUUUGUUUUGGAGCCUGAGUGGGGAGCGUGUCUACCUGAGUCGCCUUGGGCACGCUCUCUCCUGUCUUCACAUGUGAUGUAGGAACAGUGAAAGACCUUAGCUCAUGGGAAGGCUGGGAAAAUCCGAGGAUCAAACAUGAUGACAGCGAUAACCACCAGGAUGGUGAUGACGACAACAACGAUGACGGUGGUGAUGAUGAUGACGACGAUGACGAUGACGACGACGAUGACGAUGAUGGUAGUGUUUGGCUGGAACUGAGGCAAUGGAAGCUUUUUUUUUCCCUUUCUUUACACCGGAGGAGCUGGAGAGUUCAAAUACGUUGUAAAAAAUUAAAACAUCGAUUCUUUUAGUAAUUAGAACUAAUUACAAACGAAUCCCCCACACCCUGGCAAUCUCAUUUUCUUCUUCGUAGGGAAGCUGGAUUCAGAUGUGUAAGAGGUUAAAUUAUUGAUUCUGAUC